rnacentral:misc_RNA from 1 species
GUAAGAAAAGUCUCACCUAAUGCAACGAAUCUCUCCAUCCCAUAAUAAUACAGAAACCCCAUUGCUGGAAUUAUUAUCCGCCUGUCAAGAAUGAUGGAAUACAAGAAGUCCAUCUAAAAUCCAUAACAUCCCAAAAUUAUACAUACUACAGUUCCGAAUGUUUUACUCACUCAAUCUAUAAAACAGAUCAGCAGCAAGAAUCCAACCAACUUCAAACAGAAUAAGUUCACAAUCACUGCAUCCUGUUUACAGGUUCAAGUGCUUCAACAGUG